GGAGAGGUGGCCGAGUGGUUUAAGGCAGCGGUCUUGAAAACCGCCGUACGUGAGAGCGUACCGUGGGUUCGAAUCCCACCCUCUCCGCCA
rnacentral:tRNA from 2 species